GGCCUAACGUUGCUCGGAUUAUUGGGCGUAAGCGAGCGCAGGCGGUUUGAUAAGUCUGAAGUUAAAGGCUGUGGCUCAACCAUAGUUCGCUUUGGAAACUGUCAAACUUGAGUGCAGAAGGGGAGAGUGGAAUUCCAUGUGUAGCGGUGAAAUGCGUAGAUAUAUGGAGGAACACCGGUGGCGAAAGCGGCUCUCUGGUCUGUAACUGACGCUGAGGCUCGAAAGCGUGGGGAGCGAACAGGAUUAGAUACCCUGGUAGUCCACGCCGUAAACGAUGAGUGCUAGGUGUUGGAUCCUUUCCGGGAUUCAGUGCCGAAGCUAACGCAUUAAGCACUCCGCCUGGGGAGUACGACCGCAAGGUUGAAACUCAAAGGAAUUGACGGGGGCCCGCACAAGCGGUGGAGCAUGUGGUUUAAUUCGAAGCAACGCGAAGAACCUUACCAGGUCUUGACAUCCCGAUGCUAUUUCUAGAGAUAGAAAGUUACUUCGGUACAUCGGUGACAGGUGGUGCAUGGUUGUCGUCAGCUCGUGUCGUGAGAUGUUGGGUUAAGUCCCGCAACGAGCGCAACCCCUAUUGUUAGUUGCCAUCAUUCAGUUGGGCACUCUAGCGAGACUGCCGGUAAUAAACCGGAGGAAGGUGGGGAUGACGUCAAAUCAUCAUGCCCCUUAUGACCUGGGCUACACACGUGCUACAAUGGUUGGUACAACGAGUUGCGAGUCGGUGACGGCGAGCUAAUCUCUUAAAGCCAAUCUCAGUUCGGAUUGUAGGCUGCAACUCGCCUACAUGAAGUCGGAAUCGCUAGUAAUCGCGGAUCAGCACGCCGCGGGUGAAUACGUUCCCGGGCCUUGUACACACCGCCCGUCACACCACGAAGAGUUUGUAACACCCGAAGUCGGUGAGGUAACCUUUUGGAGCCAGCCGCCUAAGGUGGGACAGAUGAUUGGGGUGAAGCCUAAGGGGGGUUCC
rnacentral:rRNA from 1 species